rnacentral:rRNA from 1 species
GUGAGGAAUUUUCCGCAAUGGGCGAAAGCCUGACGCAGCCAUGCCGCGUGAAUGAUGAAGGUCUUAGGAUUGUAAAAUUCUUUCACCGGGGACGAUAAUGACGGUACCCGGAGAAGAAGCCCCGGCUAACUUCGUGCCAGCAGCCGCGGUAAUACGAAGGGGGCUAGCGUUGCUCGGAAUUACUGGGCGUAAAGGGAGCGUAGGCGGAUAGUUUAGUCAGAGGUGAAAGCCCAGGGCUCAACCUUGGAAUUGCCUUUGAUACUGGCUAUCUUGAGUAUGGAAGAGGUAUGUGGAACUCCGAGUGUAGAGGUGAAAUUCGUAGAUAUUCGGAAGAACACCAGUGGCGAAGGCGACAUACUGGUCCAUUACUGACGCUGAGGCUCGAAAGCGUGGGGAGCAAACAGGAUUAGAAACCCGGGUAGUCC